rnacentral:rRNA from 1 species
AACGAACGCUGGCGGCGUGGAUUAGGCAUGCAAGUCGAACGCGAAAGAGGGGGUAACUCCUCGAGUAGAGUGGCGAACGGGUGAGUAACACGUGAGAAACCUGCCUUCAGCAGGGGGAUAACACUCCCAACGGGGUGCUAAUACCGCAUGAGACCACGGAUUCGCAUGGAUCUGGGGUCAAAGGUGGCCUCUGCUUGCAAGCUACCGGCUGAAGAUGGUCUCGCGCCCAUUAGCUAGUUGGUGGGGUAAUGGCCCACCAAGGCGACGAUGGGUAGCUGGUCUGAGAGGAUGGUCAGCCACACUGGGACUGAGAUACGGCCCAGACUCCUACGGGAGGCAGCAGUCGAGAGGCUUUGGCAAUGGGGAACCCUGACCAAGCGACGCCGCGGUGGGGGAUGAAGGCCCUUGGGUUUCGUUAAACCCCUUUUGUUGGGGAAGAAACGCGAUCAGGUGAAUAAUCU